AGCGGGCAGGAGGUGGCCAAGAGCUGGAACUCUCGCCCGGGGAAGGGGGUCAAGGCCCGGCCUGAAAGUCUCCUUUUGCUCCGCCCGAGUCCCGAGUCGCUAAAAGCAGCCCUGCGAGGUGGCCACGCCGGCUGCCCGGAGAGAGGCCGAGGAAAAUGUCGGACUCUCCCUCCGCCCAGCGCGGGGCUGGGAGGACUUUUCCCGAGAGAAUCGAGGACCCCUCCCUCCUGUUCCCGCCCAGGGUUAGGGACUCCGGCAAAGAAAGUAUGCAGAACCGGCAAACGGGGCACCGGCGUUGAACCUGUGGAAAAAGUGCAAUUUCUUUCACAUGCACACGCCUCCCGGUCGCUGGAUUCAGGCCACCUCGCUCAGGUCUUCGCAGUGCUUCCGUGCCCUCACCCCAGGCCUGGCGCGGGGAACCCCCUUUCCUAGCUUGGUUUCCCACCUCUGCACAUCUCUUUUUUCGAAACCCUUUUCAUCCCGCAGUGCGCCCAACGCGCGCACUCUGACCGCUUCUCCCCUAAACUGCAGGCAGGGAACCCAGAAAUCAACCCCCUCCCCGCCUCACCCCGAAGCAGGACAAAACUGGAAGCCAGGGAUCUGGGAUGUUCCAGUCGGAAGGAUUUCUACCCAAGUGGCUUGGUGCUGUGCAUUACUGACCUCACAAAAAUUGAUACGCCUUUAGUUCAAGGGCAGGUGUUUGCCAGUGCCUUUACCUCCCCGAAGGUAACCUGUAGAGUGCGUUCACCGCGCCUUUUCCUUCCCAGCACCAGCCGCUUAUCAUCUUCCAAAGUCCUAUCCUCCUUUCCCCCAACCUCUCCCAUCCAGGUUCCCGGCACAGAUCCCCAGCGCAGUGAGCUCUGGUCUUUCCAGGCACUUUCUCCUUCUGGGGCCCUCGGGUUGGGGGAUGGAGGAGGAGCAGACCUGGAGGAGGGAUCUCGAAGAAGGUGAGGUAGAAGCCAGUGGAAGGCGAGGAAGGAAAGUGAGAACGAGCUAAGAGGGUGAGAGGCUGGCUGCAUGAAGGAGGCAAAGCUCUCCAGCCAUCGGGGAACUCCCAGGAAGAAAAUCCAUUUCUCUAUAGGGAAAACACCGAUGCUUGUAGUGGAUAGAUUGCAAAAUCUGGACCGCCUCCCAAAAGAAUUCUCAGCGAGCGGUGGUGAGUCAAGGAUAAACUUCAGGACUCAGAGCAGGCCUUCACCCGCCCCACUUCCCAAAUUCCAGAGAAGGCUGAUGACGUCAAGCUCUUGGCCAGUGAUGAGAAAUCCAUCCUGUAAAUGAUGGUCGCUGACAAGAUGCAAGGAAACAGAGCUGGUGGGUGACCACAUUUUUACCUUAAAAUGUAGGAGAAUGGCUGGGAUGACACAUCCAAAGUUACCUGACGGCAGCCUUCUCUCACACCCUCAAGGUCCUGGUGGGCACAGCGACCGCUUCAGCUGCGCUGACAGCCAGCGUGCCUGAGGAAGCCACCGCCAAGCCUGGAGGUCAGACAUUACAGCCUUAGGGCGUUCUAGUCUGCGUGCAGUCCAGCCGCUGAAGGCUCAAGCUGAGCGUGUACUUAGUGACGCCAGCCACCCCGACCACUUUGCAUUCACAGUGCACAAAAGGCUAAGCCGUUGAAAGUUCAAGAGGCUAGAAGAGACCGGCCUGAAUAAAGUUUCCCUUUCUCUUCUCGCUAGAAGAAAAAAUCGUCUCUGAAAUGAAACCUUAUUAAACUUACAUCCUUUCUGAA